rnacentral:misc_RNA from 1 species
AACUUUCGGCAAUGGAUCACUUGGCUCUCGCAUCGUUGAAGAACGCAGCGAAAUGCGAGACGUAAUGUGAAUUGCAGAAUUCAGUGAAUCAUCGAAUCUUUGAACGCACCUUGCGCCCCUUGGCAUUCCGAGGGGCACACCCGUUUGAGCGUCGUGAAAUUCUCAAUACCUUUUCUUUUGCGGGAACGGAUUUUGGUCUUGGAGGCCUUUUGCUGGUUUCACCUCGAAGCGAGCUCCUCCCAAAUGGAUUAGUGGGGUCUGCUUUGCCGAUCCUUGACGUGAUAAGAUGCUUCUACGUCUCGGGUUUUGGCACUGUGCCUCUGCUUCUAACCGUCUCAUUGACAACGAUGGUGUUCCGGUCACCGCCGAUUCGUCGGUGGGAGGCUUGACCCACAGAACGACCUUGACCUCAAAUCAGGUGAGACUACCCGCUGAACUUAAGCAUAUCAAUAAGCGGAGGCU